AGCGAACGCUGGCGGCAGGCCUAACACAUGCAAGUCGAACGAACCUUUCGGGGUUAGUGGCGGACGGGUGAGUAACACGUGGGAACGUGCCUUUAGGUUCGGAAUAACUCAGGGAAACUUGUGCUAAUACCGAAUGUGCCCUUCGGGGGAAAGAUUAAUCGCCUUUAGAGCGGCCCGCGUCUGAUUAGCUAGUUGGUUGAGGUAAUGGCUCACCAAGGCGACGAUCAGUAGCUGGUCUGAGAGGAUGAUCAGCCACAUUGGGACUGAGACACGGCCCAAACUCCUACGGGAGGAAGCAGUGGGGAAUCUUGCGCAAUGGGCGAAAGACUGACGCAGCCAUGCCGCGUGAAUGAUGAAGGUCUUAGGAUUGUAAAAUUCUUUCACCGGGGACGAUAAUGACGGUACCCGGAGAAGAAGCCCCGGCUAACUUCGUG
rnacentral:rRNA from 1 species